rnacentral:rRNA from 1 species
AUGAUGAUGGCGAACGCGAAACUCCAGAAGCAGGCGCUGCUGCCGCCGCGUAGCCCGUUCCCGACGGCAGCGUCGCCGUCCCCGUACGCGGACCAUGGCCCGAUCGCCCGGCCACAGGGCGCCACGCACCACCGCUUUGGGCAUGGCCACGGCCAUGGGCACCACCAGCGCACGUCGUCUGAGAGCAUCAUUGAGGAGCAGCCGUCGUGGCUCGACGACCUGCUCGACGAGCCUGAGACGCCCGUGCGCCGCGCGGGGCACCGCAGGUCGUCGAGCGACUCUUUUGCACUGUUCGACGGAAGCGCUGCCUCUGGCGCAUUUGCCAAUGGUUUUGAGGAGAUGGGGGGAGGAGGGCAGGCUGCCCCAUGGGGUGGUGUGCAGGAGUACUAUGCCAAGCCAAGCUCAUACGGGAGGCUGCAGGGCCGGCCGUGGGAACAAGGCAUGCCGAAUUUGGCAGGUUACAGGCCAGGGCCGCCGGUGCUGGUGAGGGAGAAGCUGGGUGGGCAUCACGGGCCACUGAGUGCAUCGAGGGAUCAUGAACAUGCCAUGGACAAAAGAGCUCUUGAUGAACUUGGGGCAGAGAGGAAGGAUGGUGUGCUGCCAAAGUAUGCACAAUCGGAGGCGGACACCAAGCGUGCUAAACAGCAAUAUGCUCAGAGGUCUCGUGUUCGAAAACUUCAGUAUAUUGCUGAGCUUGAGGGUAAAGUCCAAUCAUUACAGUCAGAAGGGAUAGAAGUGUCUGCUGAAAUGGAGUUUCUUACUCAACAAAAUAUAAUGCUAGACUUGGAAAACAAAGCCUUGAAGCAAAGGCUGGAGAGUAUAGCACAGGAGCAAGUAAUUAAACGUGUUCAACAGGAGAUGUUUGAGCGGGAAAUUGGUCGUCUAAGGUCAUUGUAUCAGCAGCAGCAACAGCCACCACAGCCUCCUACUCUUGGUCGUAGUAACAGCAGAGACCUUGACUCGCAGUUUGCAAGUAUGUCUUUGAAACAAAAAGACCCCAACUCUGGGCGUGACGCCGUCUCUGGGCCUCUUCGUACUUAG